rnacentral:rRNA from 1 species
UACAGAGGGUGCAAGCGUUAAUCGGAAUUACUGGGCGUAAAGCGUGCGUAGACGGUUAUUUAAGUCAGGUGUGAAAGCCCCGGGCUCAACCUGGGAAUUGCAUUUGAGACUGAAUAGCUAGGGUGCGGAAGAGGGAAGCGGAAUUUCCGGUGUAGCGGUGAAAUGCGUAGAUAUCGGGAGGAACACCAGCGGCGAAGGCGGCCUUCUGGACGGUGACUGACGCUGAGACGCGAAAGCGUGGGGAGCAAACAGGGAUUAAGAAACCCU